rnacentral:misc_RNA from 1 species
GAUCAUGGAGCAAUGGGAAAAGAACUAUUACAUCACAGCAUUAGCCGGAGUCAUCAACGGGAGCUCAUUGGUCGUAAUGUCGAAGGGCACACAGUACUUGCAACAGUCAUACAAAGUCAGUGAUUCUUUUCCAUUCAAGUGGAUAAACAAAAAAUGGAGGGAGGGAUUCUUUGUAACAGCUAUGGCCACCUCGGGAAGUAGGUGGGGCGUCGUUAUGUCCCGUGGUGCAGGAUUUUCUGAUCAGGUGGUUGAAUUGGAUUUUUUAUACCCUAGUGAAGGUAUUCAUCGCCGGUGGGACUGU